CCUAUUGCUGAAAAGUGCGGUACGUAAAGCGGGAGGACUGUAAGCGGCCCAGGUGAACCCGGUCCAUCUGAGUUCUGGGUGAGGAACUUCUGUUGGUGUUUGGGGCCGCAGGAACUGGAAACCAUGGAUGACUCACACAGGCUUUGAGACUUCAUGUAGAUCUGGGUUUUCCUGGAAACUACCAUAAAGCUGAACGAAUUGUAGAACAGACCUAUGGUGAAGCGACUUCCAGUCAUUUGGAAAGGAUGGGAUGAAAAGGAACCUUGGUGAUAAUUUUGAUGUCUGCAAGAUUUAGUACCAGUGUAAUGGGAUUAUCGGUAACACCUUCACUGCAGAAAAAGCCACCUGGCGUUAUAACUGGCAGCAACUGAGAACUAAUCCUUUCCCAUCUCUUGGAUGUCAUUCACGAAGCUCAAAGCGAUUUCUGCCCUGCUAGCUGUGAUUAAUUUUAUAAACAACAACAAAACCAGGUGAUCAAGGCAAAGAAUACGUCUUUUAUUGUAAUAUGUAGGUGUAAGUGAUGUGACUUACAAACUCUGUAACAUAAAACUGAGCAUCGUAUGGUUCAAAGUUUAUUAAACUGUCCAAAUAUAAAAUUUGUUUGGUGAUGUUUUAUACAUUUUUAGUUGAGUGACCAAGUAAUUGCU